rnacentral:rRNA from 1 species
AGAUCGAACUGAAGAGUUUGAUCCUGGCUCAGAUUGAACGCUGGCGGCAUGCCUUACACAUGCAAGUCGAACGGCAGCACGGGGGCAACCCUGGUGGCGAGUGGCGAACGGGUGAGUAAUACAUCGGAACGUGCCCAGUCGUGGGGGAUAACUACGCGAAAGCGUAGCUAAUACCGCAUACGAACUAAGGUUGAAAGCGGGGGACCUGUAAGGGCCUCGCGCGAUUGGAGCGGCCGAUGGCAGAUUAGGUAGUUGGUGGGGUAAAGGCUCACCAAGCCGACGAUCUGUAGCUGGUCUGAGAGGACGACCAGCCACACUGGGACUGAGACACGGCCCAGACUCCUACGGGAGGCA